rnacentral:lncRNA from 1 species
AGAGCCCCCGCAGGAGCAAGGCCCAGACCAAGGAGCAAGAAGUGGCAGAGGGGGGCUGUUACAGACUGGCCCCAGCCCCGUGAUCCAUCACCCUGCACCAGUUUGGGAGGAGAGGAUGUAGAGCAGCCAGAUUUGAAGAAUAUGAGCCUGGGAAAGGGGGGAGGAAAUGGGCUGUUUUAAGGUUUUUCUUUUUAUUUUCCAUUACUAGACCAGUAAUUAAAUAUUUAUUUUAAUUGGCCAGAAUUUAAGCUAAUUUUCCCCCAAGUUAAGUCUGUUUUGCUUGCAAAGGUAACUGGCAAGUGACCUCUCUUUCCUGAUAUCCACUCAUGAGCUUUCUCAUUCCCAUUUUUCGUAUUUUCACCGCAGCUCCACUAUGUGGGGAGGGAGGGAGGGAGCAUCUGGGUGGGAGUUUGGCUGCUAGCCAAGGCCACCACACGCUCCUUUACAGGAGCCUUUAAGAAACCAAGGCUUUCCCUUGAAGAGAAAGAAUAAUGUCAAGAAAGUAAUUGAAAUGAUAAGGAGUAUUAGACAGUUGUAGAACAUCCAGAAAUCAUCAUUACUCUUUGGACUUGUCAAACGGUGAUAAAUCUGGAAGGGUUUUCCCAUACCUUUAAAUGAAUCUGACAUGAUCAUCUCUGUCUCAUAUGAAUUUAUACUAAAUCUGUUUGUGGUUAGAUUAAAUAGGAACUAGCUUUAAGAGAGAAGUCAAUAUCAUGAAAUUGAUUCGCAGAUUUUCUUCACAGCUUUGAGCUAUAAAAUCCUGAUUUAAUAUAAAUGAAGACACUUUUUGCUAUGUUCUUACAAAUAUGUAGAAAAUAAUUUAAAGAGUAACUCUUCAUGCAGCUUUUUUUUUUUCUUUUUUCAAAACUCUUCUGACUCCAAAUUUUUCCAUUUUUCCUUAGAAACAGUAAACCAAAUGGGGGAAGGGGGAGGAGAUGUUGUAUUGCCUGUGUCCUCUCAAGAACAAAAAGGAAUAUGUAGUUUGUGUAGAAGCUUUUGCUUUCUCCAGCAAAAAUUCCAGCACUGUGAGGGCAAUCCAGCUUCCUGGACUAGAAGCAUUGAAAUCCAGCAUACUUCACUGGAAGAUGGAGUCUGUCCUAACUGCCUAGUGUUCAUAUUUAAUAAGGUGGUCUCUGCCGCAUGUUGCUAUCAAUUAAAUUAACCAUCAUUGAAGACAGUAUGGUGAGCAUCCUGAACAUCACACUGGAAGUUCAGAAUCCAUGCACGCUGGAAGGAACUUCAGAAAGGCCAGGAAGAAGCUAGCAUGGCUGAACAGUAGUGUAGAGGAGACAAGCAAGAGCAAGGAGCAACUAUGAUCUUUUACAAAUGAGGAAAAUAGGAAGGACAAUCAAUGCUAGCAGAUUAAACGCAAAAGCAUCCUAAGACUGUCCAAACAGUGUAUGAGUAUUAAUUUUUAAAAGACAUCAAAACUAGCAAUAACUCCUUUUUGAAUGCUUCAGGAGAUGGAAGUCAGACAAAGAAUCAGCAGACAUAGUAAGGGAUCAGGAUACAGAAAAGACAUAGAAAAAAAUGACUCAACAGUAGAAAAAUUACAUAUUACCAUUUAUUAUUUCUGUAUUGUGUUCAACUUGCCAUAAGGAAUAUCAAAAAAAUUGUACCAUGAACCCAACUGUUCAUGUAAAAUGUAAAUGUAAAAUUGCUCUAAAAUUUAAGAUAGGAACACUGCAAAUAAGCUAGUAGGAAAAAAAAAUGCAGAAUAAAAAAUCACAAGAUUAAAAGAACA